rnacentral:rRNA from 1 species
UGAAGGUUUUCGGAUCGUAAAACUCUGUUGUAAGGGAAGAACAAGUGCGUUAGGUAAUGAACGCACCUUGACGGUACCUUAUUAGAAAGCCACGGCUAACUACGUGCCAGCAGCCGCGGUAAUACGUAGGUGGCAAGCGUUGUCCGGAUUUAUUGGGCGUAAAGCGCGCGCAGGUGGUUUCUUAAGUCUGAUGUGAAAGCCCACGGCUCAACCGUGGAGGGUCAUNGGAAACUGGGGAACUUGAGUGCAGAAGAGGAUAGUGGAAUACCAAGUGUAGCGGUGAAAUGCGUAGAGAUUUGGAGGAACACCAGUGGCGAAGGCGACUGUCUGGUCUGUAACUGACACUGAGGCGCGAAAGCGUGGGGAGCAAACAGGAUNAGAUACCCUGGUAGUCCACGCCGUAAACGAUGAGUGCUAAGUGUUAGGGGGUNNNCGCCCCUUAGUGCUGCAGCUAACGCAUUAAGCACUCCGCCUGGGGAGUACGACCGC